AAUAACAAGGGCGGAUAGCGGGCGAUGUUUGAACGCAUUAGCUGUGCAGUAAUGCAUAAUGUAUGACAUGGUGUUUGCGUGCAGGAUGGUCUUCACCUGGCCUGUGGGCCAGAGAUUAUAGGCAGAGAGAUGGGGCAAAGAGAUGACAUUAUACCGAGGGAGAAUUUCAGUCCAUUCAUCUCUGCACCACGACUGCUGAUGGGACUCUGGCAAAAGAACCUGCUUGCGGCAAUGCGAUGAAAGAAAGUCACUUGGUUUGGAAUGACAUGAGGCUUGGUCAUAUGCUGCCUAAUAUCACAGGAUUUUGAAAUAUGAAAAUAUGACGAUUACAGGCGAAUGUGUUAGUAUUAUGUAAAAUUCUCUCUCAAGCCUCAUGCUCUCUUCAUAUUUAUCUUAAC